CACGUAGUUAGCCGGGGCUUCUUACUCGGGUACCGUCAUUUUCUUCCCUGCUGAUAGAGCUUUACAUCACGAAUGACUUCUUCACUCACGCGGCGUUGCUGCAUCAGGGUUUCCCCCAUUGUGCAAUAUUCCCCACUGCUGCCUCCCGUAGGAGUUUGGGCCGUGUCUCAGUCCCAAUGUGGCCGUUCACCCUCUCAGGCCGGCUACUGAUCGUCGCCUUGGUGGGCUUCUACCCCGCCAACCAGCUAAUCAGACGCGGAUCCAUCUUACACCACCGGAGUUUUUCACACUGAGCCAUGCGGCUCCGUGCGCUUAUGCGGUAUUAGCACCUAUUUCUAAGUGUUAUCCCCAGUGCAAGGCAGGUUAUCCACGCGUUACUCACCCGUCCGCCACUAAGUUACGAAUCACUAGGUUUCAUCGUAACUCCGUUCGACUUGCAUGUGUUAGGCACGCCGCCAGCGUUCAUCCUGAGCCAGGAUCAAACUCU
rnacentral:rRNA from 1 species